rnacentral:rRNA from 1 species
CCUACGGGUGGCAGCAGUGGGGGAUAUUGCACAAUGGGGGGAACCCUGAUGCAGCGACGCCGCGUGGGUGAAGAAGCGCCUCGGCGCGUAAAGCCCUGUCAGCAGGGAAGAAAAUGACGGUACCUGAAGAAGAAGCCCCGGCUAACUACGUGCCAGCAGCCGCGGUAAUACGUAGGGGGCAAGCGUUAUCCGGAUUUACUGGGUGUAAAGGGAGCGUAGACGGCAGUGCAAGUCCGGAGUGAAAGCCCGGGGUUCAACCCUGGGACUGCUCUGGAAACUGUAAAGCUGGAGUGCGGGAGGGGCAGGCGGAAUUCCUGGUGUAGCGGUGAAAUGCGUAGAUAUCAGGAGGAACACCGGCGGCGAAGGCGGCCUGCUGGACCGUAACUGACGUUGAGGCUCGAAAGCGUGGGGAGCAAACAGGAUUAGAUACCCUUGUAGUC